rnacentral:rRNA from 1 species
UGGGUGACCUGCCCUUCACUCUGGGAUAAGCCUUGGAAACGAGGUCUAAUACCGGAUAUGACCUCCCGCUGCAUGGUGGGUGGUGGAAAGCGUUUAGUGGUGAAGGAUGGACCCGCGGCCUAUCAGCUUGUUGGUGGGGUAAUGGCCUACCAAGGCGACGACGGGUAGCCGGCCUGAGAGGGCGACCGGCCACACUGGGACUGAGACACGGCCCAGACUCCUACGGGAG